CGUGAAUACAUAGCGUAAUGAAGCGAACCGGGGGAACUGAAACAUCUAAGUACCCCGAGGAAAAGAAAUCAACCGAGAUUCCCCCAGUAGCGGCGAGCGAACGGGGAGCAGCCCAGAGUCUGAAUCAGCUUGUGUGUUAGUGGAACGGUCUGGAAAGUCCGACGGUACAGGGUGAUAGUCCCGUACACCAAAAUGCACAGGUUGUGAACUCGAAGAGUAGGGCGGGACACGUGGUAUCCUGUCUGAAUAUGGGGGGACCAUCCUCCAAGGCUAAAUACUCCUGACUGACCGAUAGUGAACCAGUACCGUGAGGGAAAGGCGAAAAGAACCCCGGCGAGGGGAGUGAAAAAGAACCUGAAACCGUGUACGUACAAGCAGUGGGAGCCUCUUUAUGGGGUGACUGCGUACCUUUUGUAUAAUGGGUCAGCGACUUAUAUUCUGUAGCAAGGUUAACCGUAUAGGGGAGCCGAAGGGAAACCGAGUCUUAACUGGGCGUUAAGUUGCAGGGUAUAGACCCGAAACCCGGUGAUCUAGCCAUGGGCAGGUUGAAGGUUGGGUAACACUAACUGGAGGACCGAACCGACUAAUGUUGAAAAAUUAGCGGAUGACUUGUGGCUGGGGGUGAAAGGCCAAUCAAACCGGGAGAUAGCUGGUUCUCCCCGAAAGCUAUUUAGGUAGCGCCUCGUGAACUCAUCUUCGGGGGUAGAGCACUGUUUCGGCUAGGGGGUCAUCCCGACUUACCAACCCGAUGCAAACUGCGAAUACCGAAGAAUGUUAUCACGGGAGACACACGGCGGGUGCUAACGUCCGUCGUGAAGAGGGAAACAACCCAGACCGCCAGCUAAGGUCCCAAAGUCAUGGUUAAGUGGGAAACGAUGUGGGAAGGCACAGACAGCCAGGAUGUUGGCUUAGAAGCAGCCAUCAUUUAAAGAAAGCGUAAUAGCUCACUGGUCGAGUCGGCCUGCGCGGAAGAUGUAACGGGGCUAAACCAUGCACCGAAGCUGCGGCAGCGACACUAUGUGUUGUUGGGUAGGGGAGCGUUCUGUAAGCCGUUGAAGGUGUGCUGUGAGGCAUGCUGGAGGUAUCAGAAGUGCGAAUGCUGACAUAAGUAACGAUAAUGCGGGUGAAAAACCCGCACGCCGGAAGACCAAGGGUUCCUGUCCAACGUUAAUCGGGGCAGGGUGAGUCGACCCCUAAGGCGAGGCCGAAAGGCGUAGUCGAUGGGAAACAGGUUAAUAUUCCUGUACUUGGUGUUACUGCGAAGGGGGGACGGAGAAGGCUAUGUUAGCCGGGCGACGGUUGUCCCGGUUUAAGCAUGUAGGCGGAGGUUCCAGGUAAAUCCGGUACCUUUUUAACGCUGAGGUGUGAUGACGAGGCACUACGGUGCUGAAGUAACAAAUGCCCUGCUUCCAGGAAAAGCCUCUAAGCAUCAGGUAACACGAAAUCGUACCCCAAACCGACACAGGUGGUCAGGUAGAGAAUACCAAGGCGCUUGAGAGAACUCGGGUGAAGGAACUAGGCAAAAUGGUGCCGUAACUUCGGGAGAAGGCACGCUGAUAUGUAGGUGAAGCGGUUUACCCGUGGAGCUGAAAUCAGUCGAAGAUACCAGCUGGCUGCAACUGUUUAUUAAAAACACAGCACUGUGCAAACACGAAAGUGGACGUAUACGGUGUGACGCCUGCCCGGUGCCGGAAGGUUAAUUGAUGGGGUUAUCCGUAAGGAGAAGCUCUUGAUCGAAGCCCCGGUAAACGGCGGCCGUAACUAUAACGGUCCUAAGGUAGCGAAAUUCCUUGUCGGGUAAGUUCCGACCUGCACGAAUGGCGUAAUGAUGGCCAGGCUGUCUCCACCCGAGACUCAGUGAAAUUGAACUCGCUGUGAAGAUGCAGUGUACCCGCGGCAAGACGGAAAGACCCCGUGAACCUUUACUAUAGCUUGACACUGAACACUGGUCCUUGAUGUGUAGGAUAGGUGGGAGGCUUUGAAGUGUGGACGCCAGUCUGCAUGGAGCCAUCCUUGAAAUACCACCCUUUAAUGGCUGGUGUUCUAACGUGGACCCGUUACCCGGGUUGCGGACAGUGUCUGGUGGGUAGUUUGACUGGGGCGGUCUCCUCCUAAAGAGUAACGGAGGAGCACGAAGGUUAGCUAAUCCUGGUCGGACAUCAGGAGGUUAGUGCAAAGGCAUAAGCUAGCUUGACUGCGAGAGUGACGGCUCGAGCAGGUGCGAAAGCAGGUCUUAGUGAUCCGGUGGUUCUGAAUGGAAGGGCCAUCGCUCAACGGAUAAAAGGUACUCCGGGGAUAACAGGCUGAUACCGCCCAAGAGUUCAUAUCGACGGCGGUGUUUGGCACCUCGAUGUCGGCUCAUCACAUCCUGGGGCUGAAGUAGGUCCCAAGGGUAUGGCUGUUCGCCAUUUAAAGUGGUACGCGAGCUGGGUUUAGAACGUCGUGAGACAGUUCGGUCCCUAUCUGCCGUGGGCGCUGGAGAAUUGAGGGGGGCUGCUCCUAGUACGAGAGGACCGGAGUGGACGCAUCACUGGUGUUCGGGUUGUCAUGCCAAUGGCAUUGCCCG
rnacentral:rRNA from 1 species